rnacentral:rRNA from 1 species
UACAGAGGUCCCAAGCGUUGUCCGGAUUUAUUGGGCGUAAAGAGCGUGUAGGCGGCCAGGUAGGUCCGCUGUGAAAACUCGAGGCUCAACCUCGAGCUGUCGGUGGAAACCAUCUGGCUAGAGUCCGGAAGAGGAGAGUGGAAUUCCCGGUGUAGCGGUGAAAUGCGCAGAUAUCGGGAAGAACACCCGUGGCGAAGGCGGCUCUCUGGGACGGUACUGACGCUGAGGUGCGAAAGCGUGGGGAGCAAACAGG